AGUGCCAGGAAAACAAACCUGUUUUCCUGGCACUAUAGGCUCCUGGAGUGCCCCCUCCCAGCUACCAAAUGGACUGGAGAUCUUAAAGGGAUCCUAUAGUGCCAGGAAAACAAACCUGUUUUCCUGGCACUAUAGGCU
rnacentral:miRNA from 1 species